GAAAAAAAAAUGGUAAACCCUCACAAGAAUCCAAAGAAACAAAGCACACGUGAUAAACAAUUUGGGCAACCUCUCCCUUCACGCCCACUGUUCCAGAAUUUCUCCUCCCAAAUCAUACAAAGAUCUGAACCAUGAAGAAGAAGCCAAAAUCCCUCCUCUGCACCCAUUAACCAAAGCACUCAAACCUGUCACUUUCUCAAAACCUCUUCUCCCAAUUUUUUCCCAAAUCGUGAUUACCAACACAGAGGUUCCAGGCUGGAAUACAAGAGUUGUGAGAUUUUGUUGAAUUAAAAGUUGGAUCCUUUAUUGCUGGAGAAAAGCAAACAAACAGAGGUUUUAAGCAUCAAGUAUGAAAGAGUUCAAAUAAAUGAUGUUGGAGAGUCGAUCAAAUUGAAGGGCUGCUUUAAUUACAAGCUACAAAUAGUGGCUCAUGGAUUCCUUUUCAUUCACUGGAUUUGUAAUGUUUCAUUGGAAUAGUCUUGGCCAAAGUUUUACUGUUCAUAUUUUUGAAACCGUUUAAUAGUUUGAUCUUUUUAUGUGUCUUGAAGGUAUUUUUGAAGGCAUUAGAGUGCAAAAUCAAUAUCAUUUAUGUUACUGGAGAAGAUUUCUAAUUAUUACAUGUUCAUGCAAAGUAGUGAGUUACAAGAAAAUGUAAGGAGACUAUUGUUUUUCCUCUUUGAAAGUUAAAGUUUAGAAUACAUUUUCUUACAAAUGUUGGGGCAUUAUCCUCGAUGACAUUUAAUUCAAGAGGUUGAAGUUGGAUUUUGAGCUUAUAGCUUGCCGAAGACUAGAUCAUGAUACUAUCAAACAAUAAUGACUAUAGGCAAGAUAUAUAGAGUAGGAGCAGCUUGCAUAUUUGUUAUAGAUAGAUGCAUCUUUCAAUAUAAGAGACUUUUCUUGGUUAAUCGAUGUUAGGAAGAAUCUCAAUGCUAGCCAAUGGCAAUCUAUCAUAAUCCAUUUACUUGAUAUUUCUUUGUUAUUCAAGUGCAUUGAAACUUUUUUAGCCAUAUGAUCUACUUUUGAUUGUUUUAUAUAUGAUGAUUUGUAGCAUAACUAAAAUUGUUAAUCGCUAUGUAAAUUCAAAAAACACGGGGGUGCACCGAAAGGGUUAUGUCUAUGCGUAUAUCAACUUUGUAAAUAUUAUAGAAUGAUUGUGUUAUGUAUCUUUAUUAUAAUUAA